rnacentral:rRNA from 1 species
GUUGUUAGGGAAGAACAAGUACCGUUCGAAUAGGGCGGUACCUUGACGGUACCUAACCAGAAAGCCACGGCUAACUCCGUGCCAGCAGCCGCGGUAAUACGUAGGUGGCAAGCGUUGUCCGGAAUUAUUGGGCGUAAAGGGCUCGCAGGCGGUUUCUUAAGUCUGAUGUGAAAGCCCCCGGCUCAACCGGGGAGGGUCAUUGGAAACUGGGGAACUUGAGUGCAGAAGAGGAGAGUGGAAUUCCACGUGUAGCGGUGAAAUGCGUAGAGAUGUGGAGGAACACCAGUGGCGAAGGCGACUCUCUGGUCUGUAACUGACGCUGAGGAGCGAAAGCGUGGGGAGCGAACAGGAUUAGAUACCCUGGUAGUCCACGCCGUAAACGAUGAGUGCUAAGUGUUAGGGGGUUUCCGCCCCUUAGUGCUGCAGCUAACGCAUUAAGCACUCCGCCUGGGGAGUACGGUCGCAAGACUGAAACUCAAAGGAAUUGACGGGGGCCCGCACA